rnacentral:rRNA from 1 species
GACGAACGCUGGCGGCGUGCUUAACACAUGCAAGUCGAACGAAGAGCGAUGGAAGCUUGCUUCUAUCAAUCUUAGUGGCGCACGGGUGAGUAACGCGUAAUCAACCUGCCCUUCAGAGGGGGACAACAGUUGGAAACGACUGCUAAUACCGCAUACGAUCUAAUCUCGGCAUCGAGGAUAGAUGAAAGGUGGCCUCUACAUGUAAGCUAUCACUGAAGGAGGGGAUUGCGUCUGAGUAGCUAGUUGGAGUGGUAACGGGCCACCAAGGCGAUGAUCAGUAGCCGGUCUGAGAGGAUGAACGGCCACAUUGGGACUGAGACACGGCCCAGACUCCUACGGGAGGCAGCAGUGGGGAAUCUUCCGCAAUGGACGAAAGGCUGACGGAGCAACGCCGCGUGAGCGAUGACGGCCUUCGGGUUGUAAAGCUCUGUUAAUCGGGACGAAAGGCCUUCUUGCGAAUAGUGAGAAGGAUUGACGGUACCGGAAUAGAAAGCCACGGCUAACUACGUG